rnacentral:rRNA from 1 species
UGCCAGCCGCCGCGGUAAUACGUAGGGUGCGAGCGUUGUUCGGAAUUACUGGGCGUAAAGGGUGUGUAGGCGGACUGGUCAGCCAGGGGUGAAAGCCCGGAGCUCAACUCCGGAACUGCUCUUGGAACUGCCAGUCUAGAGAGGGUCAGGGGCUAACGGAAUUCCUGGUGUAGAGGUGAAAUUCGUAGAUAUCAGGAGGAACACCGGUGGCGAAAGCGGUUAGCUAGGGCCAUUCUGACGCUGAGGCACGAAAGCGUGGGGAGCAAACAGGAUUAGAUA